UACGUAGGGUGCGAGCGUUGUCCGGAAUUAUUGGGCGUAAAGCGCUCGUAGGCGGUUCGUCGCGUCGAAUGUGAAAACCCGGGGCUCAACUCCGGGCCUGCAUUCGAUACGGGCGGACUAGAGUUCGGUAGGGGAGACUGGGAUUCCUGGUGUAGCGGUGAAAUGCGCAGAUAUCAGGAGGAACACCAAUGGCGAAGGCAGCUCGCUGGGACGAUACUGACGCUGAGGCGCGAAAGCGUGGGGAGCAAACAGG
rnacentral:rRNA from 1 species